GGGGUAGAAGCUCAGUGGUUGAGCGAUCGAUUGCAAGUUUGCAUUAUCGAUAGGUCGUGUGUUCGAUCCACACCUAUCCCU
rnacentral:tRNA from 1 species